CUAGCAUAUCAAUAAGCGGAGGAAAAGAAACUAACCAGGAUUCCCCUAGUAACUGCGAGUGAACCGGGAAGAGCUCAAAUUUGUAAUCUGGCGGUCUCUGGCCGUCCGAGUUGUAAUCUAGAGAAGUGCUUACCUGCGCUGGACCAUGUACAAGUCUCCUGGAAUGGAGCGUCAUAGAGGGUGAGAAUCCCGUCUUUGACAUGGACUGCCAGAGCUCAACAGGUGUGCUCUCGAAGAGUCGAGUUGUUUGGGAAUGCAGCUCAAAAUGGGUGGUAAAUGCCAUCUAAAGCUAAAUAUUGGCGAGAGACUGAUAGCGAACAAGUACCGUGAGGGAAAGAUGAAAAGAACUUUGGAAAGAGAGUUAAACAGUACGUGAAAUUGCUGAAAGGGAAACGCUUGAAGUCAGUCGCAUCGUCUGGAAAUCAACCUCGCUCUUGCUGGGUGUACUUUCCGUCCGAUGGGUCAGCAUCAGUUUCGGCUGCUGGACAAGGUCUUUGGGAAUGUGGCAUCUCAGGAUGUGUUAUAGCCCUUGGGCAGAUGCAGUGGCCGGGACUGAGGAACUCGGCGCGCCGCGAGGCUGGGACGCUCGUCGUCCACACCAACGCGCCUAGGAUGCUGGCAUAAUGGCUUUAUACGACCCGUCUUGAAACACGGACCAAGGAGUCUAACAUGCCUGCGAGUGUUUGGGUGGAAAACCCAUGCGCGCAAUGAAAGUGAAGGUUGAGAUCCCUGUCGUGGGGAGCAUCGACGCCCAGACCAGACCUUCUGUGACGGCUCUGCGGUAGAGCAUGCAUGUUGGGACCCGAAAGAUGGUGAACUAUGCCUGAAUAGGGUGAAGCCAGAGGAAACUCUGGUGGAGGCUCAUAGCGAUUCUGACGUGCAAAUCGAUCGUCAAAUUUGGG
rnacentral:rRNA from 1 species